CAGCCGCCACGGUAAUACGGAGGGGGCUAGCGUUGUUCGGAAUUACUGGGCGUAAAGCGCACGUAGGCGGCUUGGUAAGUUAGAGGUGAAAGCCCGGAGCUCAACUCCGGAAUUGCCUUUAAGACUGCCGAGCUAGUAGGUGAGAGAGGUAAGUGGAAUUCCGAGUGUAGAGGUGAAAUUCGUAGAUAUUCGGAAGAACACCAGUGGCGAAGGCGGCUUACUGGCUCAUUCUAGACGCUGAGGUGCGAAAGCGUGGGGAGCAAACAGGAUUAGAUACCCCUGUAGUCCCGUCUCUUAUACA
rnacentral:rRNA from 1 species